rnacentral:piRNA from 1 species
GCGUCUGGCGUGCCCCACCUAUACCCUUCC